rnacentral:rRNA from 1 species
GACGAACGCUGGCGGCGUGCUUAACACAUGCAAGUCGAACGGAAAGGCCCUGCUUUUGUGGGGUGCUCGAGUGGCGAACGGGUGAGUAACACGUGAGUAACCUGCCCUUGACUUUGGGAUAACUUCAGGAAACUGGGGCUAAUACCGGAUAGGAGCUCCUGCUGCAUGGUGGGGGUUGGAAAGUUUCGGCGGUUGGGGAUGGACUCGCGGAUUAUCAGCUUGUUGGUGGGGUAGUGGCUUACCAAGGCUUUGACGGGUAGCCGGCCUGAGAGGGUGUCCGGCCACAUUGGGACUGAGAUACGGCCCAGACUCCUACGGGAGGCAGCAGUGGGGAAUAUUGCACAAUGGGCGGAAGCCUGAUGCAGCAACGCCGCGUGCGGGAUGACGGCCUUCGGGUUGUAAACCGCUUUCGCCUGUGACGAAGCGUGAGUGACGGUAAUGGGUAAAGAAGCACCGGCUAACUACGUG